AUAAAAAUCACCUGGGGAUCUUGUUAAAAUGCAGAUUCUGAUUCAGUUGGACUGGUUUGGGACCUGCGAUUCUGCAUUUCUAACCAGUUGCCUGAUAAUGGUGAU
rnacentral:miRNA from 1 species